AUUUUUCCAGUCUCCAUUUUGACCGAUGCAAACCUGUGAUGUCUACUCCGUGGAUGCUGGACUCGACACAACCAACAGCGAUAUUUGAAGCCAUGAUGUCAGCAAGCAGCAAUGAUCAACACAAGGUCAUUCCUGAAUUUAUGGACUCAGAAGAAGCUGCAACAUGCUCGAAUGGUGAAGCCACAACCUCAGAGCCCUGCACCCCGACACCCAGGGUCCAUCGACACAAUCAAUGCUCCUGAAACCCAUGAACUCAGCACCCCAAGGGUCCAUUCUCGGGAAGAGAACACACUUGGAGCACAACCAGCGAAUACCUGAACUUCAUGAGGGUGACCGAGGCCUCAUACCUGGAGACACUUGAGGCCCAGUGUCUUCUUCUUCUUCUUAGACCGUCAUUAUAAAAUAAUUAUUUGUUCUUAACUGACUUGCCUAGUUAAAUAA